UACGUAGGGGGCAAGCGUUGUCCGGAUUUAUUGGGCGUAAAGCGCGUGUAGGCUGCGGAGUAAGUCGGAUGUGAAAUCCCUUGGCUUAACCAAGGAAGUGCAUCCGAUACUGUUUCGCUUGAGUGUCGGAGGGGAUGGCGGAAUUCCCGGUGUAGAGGUGAAAUUCGUAGAUAUCGGGAAGAACACCCGUGGCGAAGGCGGCUCUCUGGGACGGUACUGACGCUGAGACGCGAAAGCGUGGGGAGCGAACAGG
rnacentral:rRNA from 1 species